rnacentral:rRNA from 1 species
AACGAACGCUGGCGGCAUGCCUAACACAUGCAAGUCGAACGAGACCUUCGGGUCUAGUGGCGCACGGGUGCGUAACGCGUGGGAACCUGCCCUUAGGUUCGGAAUAACUCCCCGAAAGGGGUGCUAAUACCGGAUAAUGUCUUCGGACCAAAGAUUUAUCGCCUUUGGAUGGGCCCGCGUUGGAUUAGCUAGUUGGUAGGGUAAAAGCCUACCAAGGCGACGAUCCAUAGCUGGUCUGAGAGGAUGAUCAGCCACACUGGGACUGAGACACGGCCCAGACUCCUCCGGGAGGCAGCAGUGGGGGAUAUUGGACCAUGGGCGAAAGCCUGAUCCAGCAAUGCCGCGUGAGUGAUGAAGGCCUUAGGGUUGUAAAGCUCUUUUACCCGGGAUGAUAAUGACAGUACCGGGAGAAUAAGCUCCGGCUAACUCCGUG